ACAUCGCCCAACGCGGGUCAAAGUGUAGUAUCUGUUUUUAUCAGCUUAGUAUCUGAUACGGGUUCUAUUUAGACCCAAGAUAUAAAACUUAUUUUUGCAAUAUGGUGGAGUGCUUGAAGCCUGCUUCACCUCCGCCGCGGGUCGGCCCGGUGUUGCACUUUCUUUGGGAUCGGCCGACAGUUU